rnacentral:rRNA from 1 species
AUUGAACGCUGGCGGCAGGCCUAACACAUGCAAGUCGAACGAGUGGCGGACGGGUGAGUAAUGUCUGGGAAACUGCCCGAUGGAGGGGGAUAACUACUGGAAACGGUAGCUAAUACCGCAUACCAUCGGAUGUGCCCAGAUGGGAUUAGCUAGUAGGUGGGGUAACGGCUCACCUAGGCGACGAUCCCUAGCUGGUCUGAGAGGAUGACCAGCAACACUGGAACGGAGACACGGGCCAGACUCCUACGGGAGGCAGCAGUGGGGAAUAUGGCACAAGGGGAGCAAGCCUGAUGCAGCCAUGCCGCGUGUAUGAAGAAGGCCUUAGGGUUGUAAAGUACUUUCAGCGAGGAGGCGUUACUCGCAGAAGAAGCACCGGCUAACCCCGUGCCAGCAGCGGCGGUAAUAC